rnacentral:rRNA from 1 species
AUUGAACGCUGGCGGCAGGCCUAACACAUGCAAGUCGAACGAGUGGCGGACGGGUGAGUAAUGUCUGGGAAACUGCCUGAUGGAGGGGGAUAACUACUGGAAACGGUAGCUAAUACCGCAUACCAUCAGAUGUGCCCAGAUGGGAUUGUCUUGUGGGUGGGGUAACGGCUCACCAAGGCGACGAUCCCUAGCUGGUCUGAGAGGAUGACCGGCCACUCUGGACCUGGGCCACGGUCCAUACUCCUACGGAGGUCAGCAGUGGGGAAUAUUGCACAAUGGGCGAAGGCCUGAUACCGCCAUGCCGCGUGUAUGAAGAGGGCCUUCGGGUUGUAAAGUACUUUCAGCGGGGAGGCGUUACCCGCAGAAGAAGCCCCGGCUAACUCCGUGCCAGCAGCCGCGGUAAUAC